UACGUAGGGUGCAAGCGUUGUCCGGAAUUAUUGGGCGUAAAGAGCUUGUAGGCGGUUUGUCGCGUCUGCUGUGAAAUUUCGGGGCUCAACCCCGAACUUGCAGUGGGUACGGGCAGACUAGAGUGUGGUAGGGGGAGACUGGAAUUCCUGGUGUAGCGGUGAAAUGCGCAGAUAUCAGGAGGAACACCGAUGGCGAAGGCAGGUCUCUGGGCAUUUCCUGACGCUGAGGCGCGAAAGCGUGGGGAGCAAACGGG
rnacentral:rRNA from 1 species